AGGGCGGGACACGUGGUAUCCUGUCUGAAUAUGGGGGGACCAUCCUCCAAGGCUAAAUACUCCUGACUGACCGAUAGUGAACCAGUACCGUGAGGGAAAGGCGAAAAGAACCCCGGCGAGGGGAGUGAAAAAGAACCUGAAACCGUGUACGUACAAGCAGUGGGAGCACAGGUUUACCUGUGUGACUGCGUACCUUUUGUAUAAUGGGUCAGCGACUUAUAUUCUGUAGCAAGGUUAACCGAAUAGGGGAGCCGGAGGGAAACCGAGUCUUAAUUGGGCGUUAAGUUGCAGGGUAUAGACCCGAAACCCGGUGAUCUAGCCAUGGGCAGGUUGAAGGUUGGGUAACACUAACUGGAGGACCGAACCGACUAAUGUUGAAAAAUUAGCGGAUGACCUGUGGCUGGGGGUGAAAGGCCAAUCAAACCGGGAGAUAGCUGGUUCUCCCCGAAAGCUAUUUAGGUAGCGCCUCGUGAAUUCAUCUCCGGGGGUAGAGCACUGUUUCGGCUAGGGGGCCAUCCCGGCUUACCAACCCGAUGCAAACUGCGAAUACCGGAGAAUGUUAUCACGGGAGACACACGGCGGGUGCUAACGUCCGUCGUGAAGAGGGAAACAACCCAGACCGCCAGCUAAGGUCCCAAAGUCAUGGUUAAGUGGGAAACGAUGUGGGAAGGCCCAGACAGCCAGGAUGUUGGCUUAGAAGCAGCCAUCAUUUAAAGAAAGCGUAAUAGCUCACUGGUCGAGUCGGCCUGCGCGGAAGAUGUAACGGGGCUAAACCAUGCACCGAAGCUGCGGCAGCGACGCUGAUGCGUUGUUGGGUAGGGGAGCGUUCUGUAAGCCUGCGAAGGUGGCCUGUGAGGGUUGCUGGAGGUAUCAGAAGUGCGAAUGCUGACAUAAGUAACGAUAAAGCGGGUGAAAAGCCCGCUCGCCGGAAGACCAAGGGUUCCUGUCCAACGUUAAUCGGGGCAGGGUGAGUCGACCCCUAAGGCGAGGCCGAAAGGCGUAGUCGAUGGGAAACGGGUUAAUAUUCCCGUACUUGGUGUUACUGCGAAGGGGGGACGGAGAAGGCUAUGUUGGCCGGGCGACGGUUGUCCCGGUUUAAGCGUGUAGGUGUGUGUUCCAGGUAAAUCCGGUUCACUUUAACACUGAGGCGUGAUGACGAGGCACUACGGUGCUGAAGCAACAAAUGCCCUGCUUCCAGGAAAAGCCUCUAAGCAUCAGGUAACAUCAAAUCGUACCCCAAACCGACACAGGUGGUCAGGUAGAGAAUACCAAGGCGCUUGAGAGAACUCGGGUGAAGGAACUAGGCAAAAUGGUGCCGUAACUUCGGGAGAAGGCACGCUGACACGUAGGUGAAGUGAUUUACUCAUGGAGCUGAAGUCAGUCGAAGAUACCAGCUGGCUGCAACUGUUUAUUAAAAACACAGCACUGUGCAAACACGAAAGUGGACGUAUACGGUGUGACGCCUGCCCGGUGCCGGAAGGUUAAUUGAUGGGGUCAGCGCAAGCGAAGCUCCUGAUCGAAGCCCCGGUAAACGGCGGCCGUAACUAUAACGGUCCUAAGGUAGCGAAAUUCCUUGUCGGGUAAGUUCCGACCUGCACGAAUGGCGUAAUGAUGGCCAGGCUGUCUCCACCCGAGACUCAGUGAAAUUGAACUCGCUGUGAAGAUGCAGUGUACCCGCGGCAAGACGGAAAGACCCCGUGAACCUUUACUAUAGCUUGACACUGAACAUUGAGCCUUGAUGUGUAGGAUAGGUGGGAGGCUUUGAAGUGUGGACGCCAGUCUGCAUGGAGCCGACCUUGAAAUACCACCCUUUAAUGUUUGAUGUUCUAACGUGGACCCGUGAUCCGGGUUGCGGACAGUGUCUGGUGGGUAGUUUGACUGGGGCGGUCUCCUCCUAAAGAGUAACGGAGGAGCACGAAGGUUGGCUAAUCCUGGUCGGACAUCAGGAGGUUAGUGCAAUGGCAUAAGCCAGCUUGACUGCGAGCGUGACGGCGCGAGCAGGUGCGAAAGCAGGUCAUAGUGAUCCGGUGGUUCUGAAUGGAAGGGCCAUCGCUCAACGGAUAAAAGGUACUCCGGGGAUAACAGGCUGAUACCGCCCAAGAGUUCAUAUCGACGGCGGUGUUUGGCACCUCGAUGUCGGCUCAUCACAUCCUGGGGCUGAAGUAGGUCCCAAGGGUAUGGCUGUUCGCCAUUUAAAGUGGUACGCGAGCUGGGUUUAGAACGUCGUGAGACAGUUCGGUCCCUAUCUGCCGUGGGCGCUGGAGAACUGAGGGGGGCUGCUCCUAGUACGAGAGGACCGGAGUGGACGCAUCACUGGUGUUCGGGUUGUCAUGCCAAUGGCACUGCCCGGUAGCUAAAUGCGGAAGAGAUAAGUGCUGAAAGCAUCUAAGCACGAAACUUGCCCCGA
rnacentral:rRNA from 1 species